rnacentral:pre_miRNA from 1 species
GGAGGGCGUGCUGUGUUUCGUGCGCAGAAGAGAUGACACGGUCCUUAUAUAUUCUCUCCAUUCUGUCGAUGAAUGAUGUAUGAGGGCGGUGUCCUCUCUCUGCGCAUGAAACCUCCUGUUCUUU